CUAGGUAUCCCCCUUUACAGCUGACUAGGUAUCCCCCUUUACAACUGACUAGGUAUCCCCCUUUACAACUGACUAGGUAUCCCCCUUUACAACUGACUAGGUAUCCCCCUUUACAACUGACUAGGUAUCCCCCUUUACAACUGACUAGGUAUCCCCCUUUACAACUGACUAGGUAUCCCCCUUUACAACUGACUAGGUAUCCCCCUUUACAACUGACUAGGUAUCCCCCUUUACAACUGACUAGGUAUCCCCCUUUACAACUGACUAGGUAUCCCCCU